UACGGAGGGUGCAAGCGUUAUCCGGAUUCACUGGGUUUAAAGGGUGCGUAGGUGGGCAGGUAAGUCAGUGGUGAAAUCUCUGGGCUUAACCCAGAAACUGCCGUUGAUACUAUCUGUCUUGAAUAUGGUGGAGGUAAGCGGAAUAUGUCAUGUAGCGGUGAAAUGCUUAGAUAUGACAUAGAACACCUAUUGCGAAGGCAGCUUACUACGCCUAUAUUGACGCUGAGGCACGAAAGCGUGGGGAUCAAACAGG
rnacentral:rRNA from 1 species